rnacentral:tRNA from 1 species
GGUUUAAAAUAAUGUUUGAGUGCAAAUCAAAUGCGGGGUCAGAUUGACCAUUAAGCCU